AGCAGCCGCGGUAAUUCCAGCUCCAAUAGCGUAUAUUAAAGUUGUUGCAGUUAAAAAGCUCGUAGUUGAAUUUCGGGGUUAGCAGGUCGGUCGUGCCAUCGGUAUGAACUGGUCUCGCUGAUCCCUCCCUCUUGACGAACUGUGAUGCCAUUAAUUUGGUGUCGCAGGGAAUCAGGACUGUUACUUUGAAAAAAUUAGAGUGUUUAAAGCAGGCUCACGCUUGAAUACAUUAGCAUGGAAUAAUGAAAUAGGACGUUUGACCCUAUUUUGUUGGCUUCUAGGAUUGACGUAAUGAUUAAUAGGGAUAGUUGGGGGCAUUAGUAUUCAAUUGUCAGAGGUGAAAUUCUUGGAUUUAUUGAAGACUAACUACUGCGAAAGCAUUUGCCAAGGAUGUUUUCAUUAAUCAAGAACGAAAGUUAGGGGAUCGAAGACGAUCAGAUACCGUCGUAGUCUUAACCAUAAACUAUGCCGACUAGGGAUCGGAUGAUGUUAAUUUUUUAAUGACUCAUUCGGCGCCUUA
rnacentral:misc_RNA from 1 species